ensembl:snoRNA
UUCCAUAUUGCCAAUGAUGGAUCCUUUGUUGAACUGAUUACUUGUGAUUUCAUUCAACAAUUCGUCACUACCACUGAGGCAAUACUUAA